UUGAACGCUGGCGGAAUGCUUUACACAUGCAAGUCGAGCGGCAGCGCGGGGCAACCUGGCGGCGAGCGGCGAACGGGUGAGUAACAUAUCGGAACGUACCCUAUCGUGGGGGAUAACACAUCGAAAGAUGUGCUAAUACCGCAUACGACCUGAGGGUGAAAGCGGGGGAUCGCAAGACCUCGCGCGACAGGAGCGGCCGAUAUCGGAUUAGCUAGUUGGUGAGGUAAAGGCUCACCAAGCCGACGAUCUGUAGCUGGUCUGAGAGGACGACCAGCCACACUGGGACUGAGACACGGCCCAGACUCCUACGGGAGGCAGCAGUGGGGAAUUUUGGACAAUGGGGGAAACCCUGAUCCAGCCAUGCCGCGUGCAGGAUGAAGGCCUUCGGGUUGUAAAGCUCUUUCAGACGGAAAGAAAUCGGGCGCGUGAAUAGCGUGCCUGGAUGACGGUACUGUCAGAAGAAGCACCGGCUAACUACGU
rnacentral:rRNA from 1 species